AACGAACGCUGGCGGCAUGCCUAACACAUGCAAGUCGAACGAGACCUUCGGGUCUAGUGGCGCACGGGUGCGUAACGCGUGGGAAUCUGCCCUUUGCUUCGGAAUAACAGUUAGAAAUGACUGCUAAUACCGGAUGAUGUCUUCGGACCAAAGAUUUAUCGGCAAAGGAUGAGCCCGCGUAGGAUUAGGUAGUUGGUGGGGUAAAGGCCUACCAAGCCGACGAUCCUUAGCUGGUCUGAGAGGAUGAUCAGCCACACUGGGACUGAGACACGGCCCAGACUCCUACGGGAGGCAGCAGUGGGGAAUAUUGGACAAUGGGCGCAAGCCUGAUCCAGCCAUGCCGCGUGAGUGAUGAAGGCCUCGGUGUAAGNUCUUCGUCACGCGACGAUGAUGACGGUAGCGUGAGAAGAAGCCCGGCU
rnacentral:rRNA from 1 species